AGAGCUCCCCGGCCAAGAGAAACGCGGUCCCGAGUGGGAGCGGAGAAGGGAGAAGGAGGAGGGGAUCGCGGACACUACAGAGCCCUGGACUUGCUCCUCUCCCUCCGACCCAGAAGGAAGAGGGAAGUCAGGGAGAAUUUUAGAGGUCGCUCCAAGACGGACAAGCCCUGAAGCAGUAGCAAAUCUGCGAGGGAGACACGUGCGCACAGACACACAGGCGCACCCCUCCUAAGUGCGGGGUGGGGGCACCUAGCCCCCAGGAGUGACAGGCGGGUCUGCAUCGGCGUCCGGGAGCCUGGAGAGGGUGCAAGCCUCAGGGCCACGCUGUCCGCAGUUCCGCGGUGAGACCCGCGCGCCGGGAGCGUAUUCCUCUGCAGAGCGGCCUCUGUGCUCAGGCGCCUGCGGCAGCCGUGACACUCCUGCGCCCCCUGGUGUUUCAUCGCAGUGGCGCAACCCGGCCCCAGUUGCAGUUGGCUUGGCGGAAUUGAGAGGAGGUUGGUGGGUUAUAACCCAUCUCAGCUCCCUGUCUGGACCAACACGGUUCCUAGCCUCCACUUUCCGUGAGAGCAUCUGAGGCGGUGGGAUGUGCCUGAACCGAAGGGCAUACACCGGGCAUCGCUGUGCAUUAUGGAACCAGACUCAGUGCCCAUCAAUGGAUGAAUGGAUAAAGAAAAUGUGGUCUAUACACACAGUGGAGUUGUAUUCAGACACUAAGAAGAAUGAAAUUAUAUCAUCUGCAGAAAAAUGGAUGGAACUUGAGAACACGAUGUUAAGGAAAAUAAGUCAAAUUCAGAAGGUCAUGUGUCUUCUCUCCUAUGUGGAAACUAGAGAGAAAAUAAGGGCAUUAGGUGUGUGGGGCGGUGAAAAUAAAAGACCAAAUUGAGUAGAGGACCAGGGAAGGGAGGAGGGAAGAGAAAGGGGAGGUACUGAGGAAUGAAAUUGACCAAAUUAUACUAUCCUAUCAUGUGCAUGUAUGAAUAUGUACCAAAAAAUCCACUAUUAUAAUGCACCAAUAAAAAUAAAAAAAUUAAAACUUAAAAAAGUAA
rnacentral:lncRNA from 1 species